UGAUAAAGAAAAACAUUCAAGACAUGAAAUUAAACAUUUUUUCAACUAACGUAACCAUUUUGGUUUAAAUUUUCAUGUUGUGUUUAUACCGUUUAAUAUGUUAUGUAUAUUCGUCACACAUGGUCACACUAUCAAUUGAAAUGAAAACAAUAAAAGUUUAUAAACUUCAAAUCGAUGUAGAUUUUCUUAUUUUGGAGAAAGCAAACAAUGGCAAUAGUUUUGUUUCUUAGUUCUAAUGGCGAAGAACGAGAACAUGUUCUUAGAAGAAGGAUUAUGGAAGCAUCAAAUCCGUUUGAGUUUGACGAUUUAAAAUUUGUAAGGAACUUUCGCCUCAAAAAACGGCCAUUUAAAUAUGUCUUGGAUGAGCUUUCCAUCGAGAUACAGGGGGGAACUUCUUUGUCCAUACCGUAGCACCGUCUUUAUAUGGAGGCCCAUGGCUAUUGAGCUUGCAGCAUCUCUUCAAAACCGGUCAACAUCUAUACGGUUUACAAAAAAACCAUUCGCUACCUCCGGAUUCUCCUCCAUCAACCUUAUCAGGAUUUCUUUUUGUUCCCUAUUUGUCCAAUUUGAAUGUGACUGUGCGCUUUAUGAAAUAAUAAAAAAAACUCGUUAAUAUAACCAAUUUCGUUUAAUUAUCGUAUAAAAAUUGUUAAAACUUACAUCUUUCUUCAACUAUGCACCAGAAAAUAUCUGAACGACACAAAAAUGACAUUUGGUUCGAAUCAGUCGAUAGUCAAAAUUUACUUAUUUUUUUUUUUUAAUGAACUUUCGAUUGAAUCAGCAAAUUUUCGAAUCGAUCGAAUCUCAAAAUAAAAUCUUCUCGAAUAACUUUCGAAAACGAAUCUCAAAAUAAGGGUGAAUGCUUAUGAUAAAGGGCAAAAUUGUCUCAAUUUAGCAAACCCAUUAAGUCGGGACUCUAGAUAAUAUAUUUCCUCUAUGGUGAUAAGGCUGAAUAAUAAUUGAGAAAACUAGGUAAUUAAACGAUCAUGGCAACACAGCGCAAAGUAAAUAUUAGUUUUUUAGUAAGGUAGAUACACAAUAGAGAUGCAGAAAUGCUCUGAUAUUAUAUUAAUUUUCAAGUCUUGUGCAAACUAAAAUUUAUUUCUGAAAUAUCACUCUUUCAUUAAAGUAAUCCUAUUCUAUUUUUCAUAAAAUCAGCUUGACAUUUUCCUUUGAAAUUAAUUUAUUAUCACGUUUCUAACGCCUUGGUUUGAUGAUAUUUUUGAUUUCUUUAUAAUUGGUUUGACUUUUACUUUAAACAAUUUAAAAAUGAUAAAACAAAACAAAAUGUAUAGUACUAAGAUUUAAAUAUUUGAUUUUUUUUUUAAUAUGGAAGGUGAAUCAAAUGGGUUUUAUAUUUAAAUAAUUUAAAAUUUAUUUCUGAGAAUUUUAAGCUCUAUGUUCAAAUGUGUAUGUAGUUACCUACUAUUGGAAAGUUUCUACAAACAAAAAUAAAAUCUAAUUUUAUUCAAGAGGUGUCGGGGGAAUGGUCCUAGAUUUUGUUGUUAUUUUUUUAAGUCGCUAAAAAUAAUUUUUAUAAAGCUUUAAAAUA